rnacentral:rRNA from 1 species
CACGUAGGGCGAGCGUUGUCCGGAAUUACUGGGCGUAAAGGGCGCGCAGGCUGUUAUGCGAGUCUGCUGUGAAAUGUACCGGCUCAACCGGUGCCUUGCGGCGGAUACUGCAUAGCUGGAGUACUGGAGAGGGAAGUGGAAUUCCCGGUGUAGCAGUGAAAUGCGUAGAGAUCGGAAGGAACAUCUGUGGCGAAGGCGACUAUCUGGGCCAACACUGACACUGAGGCACGAAAGCGUGGGGAGCAAACAGGA